GAUGAACGCUGGCGGCGUGCCCAAUACAUGCAAGUAGAACGCUGAAGGAAGGAGCUUGCUCUUUCCGGAUGAGUUGCGAACGGGUGAGUAACGCGUAGGUAACCUGCCUGGUAGCGGGGGAUAACUAUUGGAAACGAUAGCUAAUACCGCAUAACAGUAGAUGUUGCAUGAUAUCUACUUAAAAGGUGCAAUUGCACCACUACCAGAUGGACCUGCGUUGUAUUAGCUAGUUGGUGAGGUAACGGCUCACCAAGGCGACGAUACAUAGCCGACCUGAGAGGGUGAUCGGCCACACUGGGACUGAGACACGGCCCAGACUCCUACGGGAGGCAGCAGUAGGGAAUCUUCGGCAAUGGACGGAAGUCUGACCGAGCAACGCCGCGUGAGUGAAGAAGGUUUUCGGAUCGUAAAGCUCUGUUGUAAGAGAAGAACGAGUGUGAGAGUGGAAAGUUCACACUGUGACGGUAUCUUACCAGAAAGGGACGGCUAACUACGUG
rnacentral:rRNA from 1 species